UACAGAGGGUGCAAGCGUUGUUCGGAAUUACUGGGCGUAAAGGGCGCGUAGGCGGCCUGUUAAGUCGAACGUGAAAUCCCCGGGCUCAACCCGGGAACUGCGUCCGAUACUGGCAGGCUUGAAUUCGGGAGAGGGAUGUGGAAUUCCAGGUGUAGCGGUGAAAUGCGUAGAUAUCUGGAGGAACACCGGUGGCGAAGGCGGCAUCCUGGACCGGUAUUGACGCUGAGGCGCGAAAGCCAGGGGAGCAAACGGG
rnacentral:rRNA from 1 species